CAGGGCCAGCACAUCCUAGCUGCUCAGAAUGGGGCAGUGGCUGCUGCUGUUGCUACUAUUACUGCUUUGUUUAAAACAUAGCUGCUUCCACCAAAGCUGCCAUCCAGCUGAGAAGAUCAGGACAACACACCCAAAUCAGUCAGAGAAAAUGCAAUCAGACACUGGAACUCUGGGAGAGAAGGAUCCUGGAGGGCUGGGCAGUCAGGAAGAAGUUCUCAGAGGAAGUAACCUGGGGCUGAACUUCAGAGAUGGGAGAGUGAAGCCAGCCAGAGUGGUGGGUAGAGGGCAUGCUAGGGGGGAACCGACUGAGCAAAGCCCUGGAACAGGAGGGUGCCCUACAGGUCAGGUGGGCCUGAGUGUGUAAGAAGCAGAGAAGCCAGCUGGGGUCGGUUGGGUGCUCCAGGGGGCCUGACUUACCCUGGGGAGACGAAGGGGGAGACUGGAUGCUAACUGCCACCUUUAAGGAAGGACUGUCUGCCCUGAGGCCCAUCCCACCUGCACUCCAUCCCAACAGAAGUCCCGAGGAUCCGCAGGGGGCCACUGACACCCACCCCUAUGUAUUCACCCCCCCCAACAUACCCCAGGGCUCCUAGAAAUCAGGUGACUGCUCCCUUCUCUCUUUAUUUAUUCUCUGUUUUUUCCCUUUUCAGGAGACGAUAAUUAUUCAGAUCAUCGCGGUGAUUUACUCGGCAAUCAGAGCCGCUCGAUGCGGUGGCCGCGGAGCCGAGACAGACGAGCAUUGCCUAGGAGGACGGGCCGGGGGCUCAGCGCCCCUCCCUCCCACCUGCCCGGCCUUUGUUCUCUUCGAGGUCUGCACCCGCGCUGCCUGGCGGGCAGUGGAGGCGCCCACCCGCGCGGACAUGGCAGCAAGCUCGGGGUCUUGGGAAUGAGUGUGCACAUGAGUUCGCCCGGGGGAGGGGAGUUUGGGGGCUCGUGUGUUGCUGGGUGCUGGCUUGAAAAUGAUGGAGUACCUGUGUGCAUGUUUGGGGGUGGUAGUGGUGGUGGUUGGGAGUGUACUAAUGCACGAGCAUUGCGGUCAGGUGUGUAAUUGGAAUGUGUGCACCUGUGUGAUUACCGGGGGCCUAGGGUACAUCUGUCUCCACAGGCUUGUUCAGAAGUGCAAUGGGCAGGUGCCCAAAUAUGUGUAUUUUAGGCACAUAGCGGGGAGGAGAAGAGAGUUGGGGCUCUUGUGCUGAAGCUGUCUGAGGUGAUCAUGGAAUCAUGGAUGUGGCAGGGCUGGGUUCUAGCUCAGCCUCUCGAACCGUGUCUGGCUGGGUAGGUGGGGUGGGGGCGGGGGAGUGUGAAUCAGCUCAGAUCCAAAUGCCGAGUUUUCCUGGGUCAGUGCUGGGGCCCCGGGGGUCACGUGAAUACAGAUGUGGCUCGGUUCACAGGCUGUGUUCACACGUGUCCGCAGACCUUCGCCCCCUCCCGCCCGCGGGCUGGCGCAGUGACGGUGACCUCAUUACCGCCUCCGCAAAGGCCCCUUGAAAUCCCUGCGCCGUCGCAUUUGGCUGCUCAAAGUGAUGGGAACGGCCUGAGCUUCCUGAUCAAUCGCUUAAAAUUCAGGGUCGGCUCGCUCGCGGGAGAGGGCUGCCUGCCAGCCCCGCGCACCGCGCUCUGCCGCCUCCCCCUACACCCCCUCCUUGCUUUGGCGGGGCGAUGCUGUCGUAUUGGAAAACAUCCCCGCGCUGGCUGGGGGGCCCGGUGGGGCCAGCGCUGGAAGCCGUUCCACUCGAGCAGAUGGCUGUGAAACUUUGGCGGCGAGAUAAAUUGGGUCUGACGGCGUGAGGCCGGCUCACAGAUGGGCGGGAUUCUCACGCCGGCCCCCACGUCCGGCCGGGCUGCGGGCAGGGCCGACACCGCUCAGAGCCCCCUUUGGGCACCCGCCUCGCCAGCACAAGCCUUCAGGAGGCCACCCAUCCGGCAACAGCCUUCCUCAGCCGAAGGCGCCCUCCACCACAUUCCUUCCGGCCCCAGAUCUCCCCAGAGACGAGCCCAGAGGGAGGGACAGCCCCCAGCCCCCGCCCGGUCACCUCCGCCAAGCUGGCAGCUGGGCUUUCCCCCUCCUCUGCCAUCCGCAGAGGCCUGAAGCGUGAAGGUUAACAGCUGGGGGGGAGGCUGCGUCUCCCUCUCUCACCCCCGCUCUGCUGCAGCCCCGCCCACCUGCCAGCCCAGGGGAUGUCGUAAACAGGGCUGUGAGUGACACAGCCUGGAGACCCAGCUCUGUCACUCAACUCUACAUAGCCUUCACCCAGAGCCUGACAGUGUAUAUGAACAAGAGGCUGUGCCUGGUGAGUGCUUCUGCCACUUUCUCCAGGAUGACAGCUGUGGACUCCUGCCACAUCCAACACCCCCUUGCUGCUCCCCACCGCCCUCCUUGGCACCCAGGUGGCUGAUCUCCUAUGGUCUUGCUGGCUUCUCUACCUUGUAUGCUGAGGGCGGGCCCAGCCUGCCCCAGCUCAGGGUCUGCACAUAGUAGGUGCUUGCAUGUUGCCUGCUAAACUGACAGCCCUGUAACCAUGUCAGCACAAAGCAACCAGCAUUUUGGGUGCAUCUGCAGUUAAAAUAAACCACUGAGGUCAUGGGUCUGUUCUCUCUGCAAAAACAAAAAUACCCCACUAGCCAUAUCUGAUGAGAACCAUAGCAAAAGAUCAGAAUGUAAUGGCUUCAUCCAGAAGCAAAGCAUGAGGUUCCAAACCAUGUCCCUGACCUGAAGGGGCACCUGCCCAGGCCCAGGGGUGCCAACUCCUAGAGGCAGCUGGCAUGUGACUACUGUGCCCAGUAGAGAAAGGCAGACACUCAGUCCCCAGAGCCCAGAGCCCCGAGGGAAUUAUGGAACAUCCUCCAUAUUUGAUUCAAAAUAAAAACCACAGUAAACCAUAGACCCAAAACUUAUACGUCGGCUGAAAUUAAAAUAGCUUCUUGCUACGUUUUCUGGUUUCAAUAUUCUGGAUAAACUCAUGGAAGCUGAAUCAG
rnacentral:lncRNA from 1 species